GUUAGCUUGGUGUAAAUAAUUUAGCAUUUUAGCUUUUCGUGCUUUUCGUGGGGGUUUCCCCAGCUAACU
rnacentral:tRNA from 1 species